rnacentral:tRNA from 1 species
AAGAGAAAACUACCACAUAAAGACUGCUAAUUACUUAUGCUCAUGGCUAAAUUCCAUGAUUCUCUUG